rnacentral:rRNA from 1 species
AGUGAACGCUGGCGGUAGGCCUAACACAUGCAAGUCGAACGGCAGCACAGUAAGAGCUUGCUCUUACGGGUGGCGAGUGGCGGACGGGUGAGGAAUACAUCGGAAUCUACUUUUUCGUGGGGGAUAACGUAGGGAAACUUACGCUAAUACCGCAUACGACCUACGGGUGAAAGCAGGGGAUCUUCGGACCUUGCGCGAUUGAAUGAGCCGAUGUCGUAUUAGUUAGUUGGCGGGGUAAAGGCCCACCAAGGCGACGAUCGGUAGCUGGUCUGAGAGGCUGAUCAGCCACACUGGAACUGAGACACGGUCCAGACUCCUACGGGAGGCAGCAGUGGGGAAUAUUGGACAAUGGGCGCAAGCCUGACCCAGCCAUACCGCGUGUGUGAAGAAGGCCUUCGGGUUGUAAAGCCCUUUUGUUGGGAAAGAAAAGCAGCAGGUUAAUACCCCGCUGUUCUGACGGUACCCAAAGAAUAAGCACCGGCUAACUUCGUG